rnacentral:rRNA from 1 species
GACGAAGGGGGCUAGCGUUGUUCGGAAUUACUGGGCGUAAAGCGAGUGUAGGUGGUUGUCCAAGUUGGAUGUGAAAGCCUUGAGCUCAACUCAAGAAAUGCAUUCAGGACUGGAUGGCUAGAGGACCGGAGAGGAUUGUGGAAUUCCCAGUGUAGUGGUGAAAUACGUAGAGAUUGGGAAGAACACCAGUGGCGAAGGCGGCUAUCUGGACGGUUUCUGACACUAAGACUCGAAAGCGUGGGGAGCAAACAGG